AAUAUAUAUAUAUAUAUAUAUAAGAGUGUAUUUGUAACUAUGUGGUAUACAUGCAUGGCAUGGAGAAAAAUCCGUUCUUCUAUGGCAAGAUUAAAUAUAGCAACAUAAUUUGAUAUCGUAUGUAAUCAUAUUCCGUAUGUUCAGGGAUUCGAAUCUCGUAAUUAUCGUUGGUGAUUAAUAUCUCACAUAUCUUUGUAUUUAAUUGAUGAGAUACAUCUCCUUGUAUAUAAAAGUUGUGUAAUCGCGCUCUAUGAUGAUAUAUAUAAAGAAAUAUUUCUUC
rnacentral:sRNA from 1 species